AACGUAGGACGCAAGCGUUAUCCGGAGUUACUGGGCGUAAAGCGCGGGCAGGCGGCUCGAAACGUCUGAUGUGAAAUCUCCUCGCUCAACGGGGAGAGGCCAUUGGAAACGGUCGAGCUGGAGGGCAGUAGAGGUAGGCGGAAUUCCGGGUGGAGUGGUGAAAUGCGUAGAGAUCCGGAGGAACCCCAGAGGCGAGGGCGGCCUACUGGGCUGCACCUGACGCGGAGCCGCGAAAGCCGGGGAGCGAACGGG
rnacentral:rRNA from 1 species